UGAGGAAUAUUGGACAAUGGGUGAAAACCUGAUCCAGCCAUGCCGCGUGCAGGAAGACGGCCCUAUGGGUUGUAAACUGCCUUUGUAUGGGAGCAAUAAGCUCUACGUGUAGAGUGAUGAGAGUGCCAUACGAAUAAGCCACGGCUAACUACGUGCCAGCAGCCGCGGUAAUACGUAGGUGGCGAGCGUUGUCCGGAUUUACUGGGUGUAAAGGGCGUGUAGGCGGGUAAACAAGUCAGAUGUGAAAUACCGAGGCUCAACUUCGGGGCUGCAUUUGAAACUGUAUAUCUUGAGUGUCGGAGAGGAAAGCGGAAUUCCUAGUGUAGCGGUGAAAUGCGUAGAUAUUACACAGAACACCGAUUGCGAAGGCAGCUGACAAAACCAUAAUUGACGCUGAUGCACGAAAGUGUGGGGAUCAAACA
rnacentral:rRNA from 1 species